UGAGGAAUAUUGGUUAAUGGACGCAAGUCUGAACCAGCCAAGUAGCGUGCAGGAUGACGGCCCUAUGGGUUGUAAACUGCUUUUAUAUGGGAAUAAAGUGAGGGACGUGUCCCUUAUUGCAUGUACCAUAUGAAUAAGGACCGGCUAAUUCCGUGCCAGCAGCCGCGGUAAUACGGAAGGUCCAGGCGUUAUCCGGAUUUAUUGGGCGUAAAGCGCGCGCAGGUGGUUUAGAAAGUCUGAUGUGAAAGCCCACGGCUCAACCGUGGAGGGUCAUUGGAAACUAAUAAACUUGAGUGCAGGAGAGAAAAGUGGAAUUCCUAGUGUAGCGGUGAAAUGCGUAGAAAUUAGGAGGAACACCGGUGGCGAAAGCGGCUUUUUGGCCUGCAACUGACACUGAGGCGCGAAAGCGUGGGGAGCAAACAGG
rnacentral:rRNA from 1 species